rnacentral:rRNA from 1 species
AUUGAACGCUGGCGGCAUGCCUUACACAUGCAAGUCGAACGGCAGCACGGGUGCUUGCACCUGGUGGCGAGUGGCGAACGGGUGAGUAAUACAUCGGAACGUACCUUAUCGUGGGGGAUAACGCAGCGAAAGCUGUGCUAAUACCGCAUACGCCCUGCGGGGGAAAGCGGGGGAUCGCAAGACCUCGCGCGAUUAGAGCGGCCGAUGCCUGAUUAGCUUGUUGGUGGGGUAAAAGCCCACCAAGGCGACGAUCAGUAGCUGGUCUGAGAGGACGAUCAGCCACACUGGGACUGAGACACGGCCCAAACUCCUACGGGAGGCAGCAGUGGGGAAUUUUGGACAAUGGGGGCAACCCUGAUCCAGCAAUGCCGCGUGAGUGAAGAAGGCCUUCGGGUUGUAAAGCUCUUUUGUCAGGGAAGAAACACCGGCUCCAACACAGUCCGGGAAUGACGGUACCUGAAGAAUAAGCACCGGCUAACUACGUGCCAGCCGCCGCAGUAA